AUGGGUGAUUUUGUUGGAUAAGGAAUAACCAUUGGAUGAAAUAAGAUCUCUUCUAUAACUCUAAUUAGCACAUUUUGUACUAACGAAAAACAAACCCAAGAGUUGAAGAAGAAUCAGAGUUCAGAAUCCAUGGCAGGUGCUAUAGUAAAGUACGGAAUCAUAGGAGUAGGAAUGAUGGGUAGAGAGCAUCUUGUGAAUUUGUACCAUCUUCGCACCCAAGGCGUGGCAGUUGUUGCUAUUGCUGACCCUCAUCUUCCCUCUCAACAACUCGCUCUUGACUUAGCACACUCCUUUACUUGGCCUCUCAAGGUUUUCUCAGGUCACCAGGAGCUGUUGGACAGUGGACUAUGUGAUGUUUUGGUGGUAUCCACUCCUAACAUGACCCAUCAUAGGAUUCUUAUGGACAUUAUCAAUCAUUCCAAACCCCAUCAUGUACUGGUAGAGAAGCCCUUGUGCACCACAAUCUCACACUGCAAAGAGGUUGUCAAUGCUGCUAGAAAGAGACCUGAUAUAUUGGUACAAGUUGGACUGGAAUAUAGAUACAUGCCACCUGUUGCAAAGCUGAUAGAAAUAGUUAAGGGAGGAAACCUUGGACAUGUCAAAAUGGUAGCAAUUCGGGAGCAUCGGUUUCCUUUUCUGGUUAAGGUGAACAAUUGGAACCGGUUCAAUAUUAACUCAGGGGGCACUCUGGUAGAGAAGUGUUGCCACUUCUUUGAUCUGAUGAGACUGUUUGUUGGUGCAAAUCCUGUUCGUGUGAUGGCUUCUGGAGCUAUUGAUGUUAAUCACAAGGAUGAAGUAUAUGAUGGAAAGGUGCCAGAUAUCAUUGACAAUGCAUAUGUUAUAGUUGAAUUUGACAAUGGUUCUCGAGGAAUGCUUGACCUUUGUAUGUUUGCUGAAGGGAGUAAAAAUGAGCAAGAAAUAUCUGUUGUCGGUGAUAUUGGAAAGGGAGAAGCCUUUGUUCCUGAGAGUGUUGUGCAGUUUGGUACCCGAGAGGCGGGGCGAGAUGGUGUCCAGACUUUGAAAGCUGAGGAUCACAGGAUAAAAUAUGAUGGGUUACACCAUGGGUCUAGCUAUCUGGAACACCUUAACUUCUUGUCUGCAAUCAGAGCAAAAGGAGAAAAGGCUCCUAGUGUAGAUCUCCAAGAUGGAUUAAUAUCUGUUGCUAUGGGAGUUGCAGCACAGCUCUCUAUAGAAUAUGGUCGAUUUGUUUCUAUUCAGGAAGUUAUGAAUGAGUGCAAAAUUUGAGUGUUGCAACUUGGAAGUGAGAGUAAUGGUUGUCUCUGCUGUUAUGUGUUCUUUGACAAAGGGAUGCUGUAUUGUUGCUAUCACUGCCUCAAGAAAAAGUGCAAAAUGAUUUGUGAAAUUUACAUUUCUUCCACCUAAACUUUAGUCAAUUGGUAACUUUAGCUCCUAUGUUUUCUGCAACUCAUUUUCUGUAAACUGAAACAGUGGAAUGUUAGGAAUCAGAGCUGAAAAUUUUAGCCAAAUACACGAGCUAGAAUCUUUUCUUGGGAA